UCCGACUUGACGUCGGCAGUCUCGUUAGAGUGCCCCACUUAAGGCUGGCAACUAACGACAGAGGUUGCGCUCGUUGCGGGACUUAACCCAACAUCUCACGACACGAGCUGACGGCAGCCAUGCAGCACCUUCUCACCAGUUCCCCGAAGGGCACCCCGACAUCUCUGCCAGGUUCUGGUGGAUUUAACCCAGGUAAGGUUCUGCGCGUUGCGUCGAAUUGAACCACAUGCUCCACCGCUUGUGCGGGCCCCCGUCAAUUCUUUUGAGUUUUAGCCUUGCGGCCGUACUCCCCAGGCGGGGCGCUUAAUGCGUUAGCUGCGGCACGGAACCCGUGGAAGGGACCCCACACCUAGCGCCCAACGUUUACGGCGUGGACUAC
rnacentral:misc_RNA from 1 species